rnacentral:rRNA from 1 species
AGUUUGAUCCUGGCUCAGAUUGAACGCUGGCGGCAGGCCUAACACAUGCAAGUCGAGCGGAUGAGUGGAGCUUGCUCCAUGAUUCAGCGGCGGACGGGUGAGUAAUGCCUAGGAAUCUGCCUGGUAGUGGGGGACAACGUUUCGAAAGGAACGCUAAUACCGCAUACGUCCUACGGGAGAAAGCAGGGGACCUUCGGGCCUUGCGCUAUCAGAUGAGCCUAGGUCGGAUUAGCUAGUUGGUGAGGUAAAGGCUCACCAAGGCGACGAUCCGUAACUGGUCUGAGAGGAUGAUCAGUCACACUGGAACUGAGACACGGUCCAGACUCCUACGGGAGGCAGCAGUGGGGAAUAUUGGACAAUGGGCGAAAGCCUGAUCCAGCCAUGCCGCGUGUGUGAAGAAGGUCUUCGGAUUGUAAAGCACUUUAAGUUGGGAGGAAGGGCAGUAAGUUAAUACCUUGCUGUUUUGACGUUACCGACAGUAUAA